UGAGGAAUAUUGGUCAAUGGACGGGAGUCUAAACCAGCCAAGUAGCGUGCAGGAUGACGGCCCUAUGGGUUGUAAACUGCUUUUGUGCGGGGAUAAAGUGUGGGACGCGUCCCUUUUUGCAGGUACCGCAUGAAUAAGGACCGGCUAAUUCCGUGCCAGCAGCCGCGGUAAUACGGAAGGUCCGGGCGUUAUCCGGAUUUAUUGGGUUUAAAGGGAGCGUAGGCUAGAGAUUAAGCGUGUUGUGAAAUGCCGCGGCUCAACCGUGACACUGCAGCGCGAACUGGUUUCCUUGAGUGCGCUGAAAGUGGGCGGAAUUUGUGGUGUAGCGGUGAAAUGCUUAGAUAUCACGAAGAACUCCGAUUGCGAAGGCAGCUCACUGUAUCGCGACUGACGCUGAAGCUCGAAAGUGCGGGUAUCGAACAGGAUUAGAUACCCUGGUAGU
rnacentral:rRNA from 1 species